CCUACGGGUGGCAGCAGUGAGGAAUAUUGGUCAAUGGACGCAAGCCUGAACCAGCCAUGCCGCGUGAAGGAAGACGGUACAACGUGUCGUAAACCUCUUUUGUCAGGGGACAAACGCAGGUACUCGUCCCCGGCUGAUAGUAUCUUACGAAUAAGCAUCGGCUAACUCCGUGCCAGCAGCCGCGGUAAUACGGAGGAUUCAAGCGUUAUCCGGAUUUAUUGGGUUUAAAGGGUGCGCAGGCGGCCUGUUAAGUCAGCGGUAAAAUCCCGGGGCUCAACCCCGACGAGCCGUUGAAACUGGUCGGCUAGAGAUGGGGAGAGGUACGCGGAAUGUGUGGUGUAGCGGUGAAAUGCUUAGAGAUCGCACAGAACACCGAUUGCGAAGGCAGCGUACC
rnacentral:rRNA from 1 species